GAUGAACGCUGACAGCAUGCUUAACACAUCAGCAAUUGUUUGGUGGCGGAAGGGUGAGUAACGAGUAAAGAACUUGCCUCACAGGACGGGACAACAUGGGGAAACGAACGCUAAUACCUAAUACUGUGAGAGAGCUGUUCGUCCCAUUAGCUAGUUGGAGAGGUAACGGCUCACCAAGGCGAGGAUGGGUAGCCGGACUGAGAGGGGGAUCGGCCACAAGUGGACUGAGACGCGGCCCUUACUCCUUCGGGAGGCAGCAGUGGAGAUUAUGGGACAAUGGACCAAAGUCUGAUCCAGCAAUGCUGUGUGAACGAUGAAGUUUUCGGAAUGUAAAGUGCUUUCAGUUGGGAAGCGGUACCAACAGAAGAAGUGACGGCUAAAUACGUGCCAGCAGCCGCGGUAAUUC
rnacentral:rRNA from 1 species